rnacentral:tRNA from 1 species
GGACUAAUAGCUCAGUGGUAGAGCUCCUGCUUAGCAUGCAUGAGGUUCUGGGUUCAAUUCCCAGUACCUCCA